UACGUAGGGGGCAAGCGUUGUCCGGAAUCAUUGGGCGUAAAGAGCGCGUAGGCGGUCCAGUAAGUCCGCUCUGAAAGUCCGGGGCUCAACCCCGGGAGGCGGGCGGAUACUGCUGGGCUAGAGUCCGGAAGAGGCGAGUGGAAUUCCUGGUGGAGCGGUGAAAUGCGUUGAUAUCAUCAGGAACACCGGAGGCGAAGGCGGCUUACUGGGGCCUUUCUGACGCUGAGGAACGAAAGCCAGGGGAGCGAACGGG
rnacentral:rRNA from 1 species